UUAAACCAGUCUUCAAUAUACCUAAUCCAGUGGUUGUUCAAAGGCCUAGUCCUUUUCUUUUUGAGAAUACUAAAGCAGUUCCUUGGAAGUAUGAUACGAUUGUGGUUAACCAAAGGUCUGAGAAAGUAGGUCCAAAAAAAGGUAUAAAGAUUGCAAGCACUGAUAUAGCAGGGGGGAGCAGAAUGACCCACAGUGGUCGCAUUUAUACCCCUCAGUUCAACUUGGCUCCGCCAAUUCCACAAAAAAAAACCAC
rnacentral:lncRNA from 1 species